rnacentral:rRNA from 1 species
UCGUGCCAGCAGCCGCGUAAUACGAAGGGACCUAGCGUAGUUCGGAAUUACUGGGCUUAAAGAGUUCGUAGGUGGUUGAAAAAGUUGGUGGUGAAAUCCCAGAGCUUAACUCUGGAACUGCCAUCAAAACUUUUCAGCUAGAGUAUGAUAGAGGAAAGCAGAAUUUCUAGUGUAGAGGUGAAAUUCGUAGAUAUUAGAAAGAAUACCAAUUGCGAAGGCAGCUUUCUGGAUCAUUACUGACACUGAGGAACGAAAGCAUGGGUAGCGAAGAGGAUUAGAUACCCUCGUAGUCCAUGCCGUAAACGAUGUGUGUUAGACGUUGGAAAUUUAUUUUCAGUGUCGCAGCGAAAGCGAUAAACACACCGCCUGGGGAGUACGACCGCAAGGUUAAAACUCAAAUGAAUUGACGGGGACCCGCACAAGUAGUGGAGCAUGUGGUUUAAUUCGAAGAUACGCGCAGAACCUUACCAACACUUGACAUGUUCGUCGCGACUCUAAGAGAUUAGAGUUUUCGGUUCGGCCGGACGAAACACAGGUGCUGCAUGGCUGUCGUCAGCUCGUGUCGUGAGAUGUUGGGUUAAGUCCCGCAACGAGCGCAACCCUCACUUUUAGUUGCCAUCAUUAAGUUGGGCACUCUGAAAGAACUGCCAGUGAUAAGCUGGAGGAAGGUGGGGAUGACGUCAAGUCCUCAUGGCCCUUACGUGUUGGGCUACACACGUGCUACAAUGGUAUCUACAACAGGAAGCAAGACUGCGAAGUUAAGCAAAUCCUUAAAAGAUACCUCAGUUCGGAUUGCACUCUGCAACUCGAGUGCAUGAAGCUGGAAUUACUAGUAAUCGUGGAUCAGCGUGCCACGGUGAAUGCGUUCCCGGGUCUUGUACACACCGCCCGUCACACCAUGGGAGUUGGUUCUACCUUAAGGCAAGGUUCA